rnacentral:tRNA from 1 species
GGUUCUAUAGUGUAGCUGGUCAUCACAUCGGAUUCUGAUUCCCUUCAUCAGUAUCCUUCCGGGAACUUGGGUUCGAAUCCCAAUAGGACCU